UUUUUUUUUUUUUUUGCUGUGAGCAAGAUGUGUAAAUCAUUGAGGCAAUAUUGGAAGAAAAACACCUUACGAAAAUUUGAUUACUGAUUGAAUGCGGUGUCAUGAAUGUGAUGUAAACAUAUGAGGACAUAGGUUGAGGCACAACUGGGAUUGAUUUGUUAUAAGAUAUUAUUUUGUGCAGGAACAAUUAUUAGUGAAAUUUAGGAUCAAACUGUGAGAUAGUGAUUAUGAGAAACAGAAAAAUAAAAUAAUCAAAGCUGCACAUGUCCAGUGUUGUCCAGUCAUUGGGUAUCUUAUUGUGGCAUUUUAAUAGAGUUGUUUGUGUGGUAUUAUGUGCAAAAUGAAUCACAUCCGAGUUGUUAUGCUGGUGUAGGAACAUACAUUGCAUAAACAUUGCCUAGGGAACAUUAGAUUUAGAUCGAAACCAUGUUAUAAUAUUUUCAUGGUCAUAAUGUGGGAUGAUUAAGGGCUUUAUUCAGGGUUUCAGUCUAAUAUUGUCUUCCUAAAUGUAUGUGAAUGUAUAAAGGCCUUUUAGUUUAAAUUUUUAAUACCCUUGGCAUGUCUUACGUACUGUUUUGUUUCAAACACUCAUAGGUUUCAGGGGUAUAAAUUUUCAGUUCAAAAAGAUUGACGUAAGAUCUGUAUUGCUGUGGCUUUUGAACUUGCUGUGAAUGUUACUUUUUGUUUCCCUUCCUGGAUAGAUUUGUUCAGUUUAUUUUAUUUGCUAAUAUACUUCCAUAAAAUUUUUGUACAUCAUAUCCACUCAUGCUUUGUCUGUCAUUUUUGUACGAAACAUUUACGCAGUUAAGAUCUUCUGAUGCUAUUCUUCAUUUUGAAAAAUGUAAAAAAUUCUUCAUCGUACUGAGAUACAUGAUAGAGGUUAUGUUUUUUUGCCAGAGUUUAUUUUACCUUGAUUGCGAUCCCUUUUCCUCAUAAAAAAGGUAUUGCGUUGUUGUAUUCGUGAAUAAUCAAGUUAUUUUAUUAUGCUUCAUUAUUGGUGCGAUUAUAUGUUAUUUAUAUUGAGUUCAUGUUCAGUUUUGCUCAUAUUAGUAAUCAUUAACAGAUUAUAUUCUUGAAUCCUGAUUAAAAGUGACGUUGAGGAGUUUAUUAAGUCCUUUUUUUUUGCUCUAUUGUAAGGGGUGUUAGAAAGUCUUUAACGGUUCCAUUUCAUGGUACCUUUGGAAGAACAACUUUGUCAAAGUUUGUAUAUUUCAGAUCUCGACUUCGCUUUUCUGGAGAUGAAUCCUUUUGCAUUGGUUGAUGGAAAGCCAUAUCCUUUGGAUAUGAGAGGCGAGCUCCAUUACCCUGCUGCUUUCAAGAACUUAAAAAGUACAUUCAAUUUCUUGUGUUAUUACCCUCUCUGCUCAGUUAUUUGACGAAAGCUAUAUGAUACUAUCUAAUGUUUCUUCUGUUUAAGUGUACCAUUUGGCAACACCACCUUACAUGAUAUAAUUGUUUCAGGUGGGCUAAUAUUGAAUUUUCAAUGCCGUUUGGAAGAGUUAUGAGUCCUACAUAAAAAAUUAUUCAUGGGCUAGAUGAUAGGUACAAACAAUGUUUUACCUCAUCAGUGAUAGUUUUCAUGCGGGAUUUUAGUUGUAUGCAAUUUUAAUUUCUUUUAUUGUUCAUAAGGAAAUACCUCGCAUUUAUUAGAUGAUAACCAUUUAGUAUCCCACUUUAAUCAGGUUGAUUUGUCAAUUGCUUGCAGACAUGGGCAUCUUUGAAAUUUACAGUCGUGUACCCUAAGGGAAGAAUCUGGACUAUAGUUGCUGGAGUGCAAGAGUUAUAUACGGUGUGUUCAAUUAAGAUUCAGAAAUUUAACUGGAUUUGAACCUGUUACUUAUGAACCUUUGGUUUUCCUUGGCAUUCAUUGCUCACACUCAAAGUAUAUUCCUUUAUCAGGUUGGAGAUCUUGGCUCUGCUAAUGAGCUUGAAAACUGCACUGAAUAUAGUGGAGCACUAAAUGAGAAGGAGGUCUUGCAGUAGGCCAGAGUUGUGAUUGAUGUAAGAACUCUUUCACUCUUAGCAUUAUAUCACUUUAUCCACAGUAGAUGAAAUGCUACUUUCAUAUUUGCCACAUCUCUGUUUUCCAUCAAAAACUUUUCACAAGCUUCAUGGCUUCUCUUUAAUACAUUUGGAAUGAAUUUGUUCAUAGUUUUCUGCCCUGAAGCUUAUUGAACAUGAAGAUAGAUUGUGGGUCUGUGGUGGUUUUUGUUAUUUGGGUUGCUGCCUUUUGCAUUUCUGGUAAGGGUUACUAUUUUUUCCAUUAAAUUGAUGAUUUUAUAUCAAUAUCUGUUCUGUAAUUUUUUUUUUCUGCAUCUUUUGUGUUGUUGCUGACUAAUCUACUCUUUCUUAGUGUGACUUAUUAAUGGAUGACUAUUUUGUCUACACAUCUUCAGGUUGAUGUUCUUGGAGAAGGUCUUUUAAGCAGGUAUCCUCAAGUUCAAAGGACUUUCAUGCAUGAUGUUUUAUCCUCUCAGUCAUUUUCCUUUAUUGAUUGUAAUCUAGGUAAUCAAAGAAACUGGGUUUUUGUUUUCGGAUCCUGUUGAUUUACUGUUAAGUAUGUUUUAGAAUGCUUCUACUUGCUUUCAAAUCUUUGAAGAGUAAUGGGUUUCAGCUGGAAAUGGAGGAGAGAAGAAGUACAGACGUUGUCAUUGUUGUUUCCGGGGUUUCCGGUGCAGCUGUUGCCUACACUCUUGCAAAGGUCAGAUAAUGAUUUCAAUAUUUUUUUAAUUUGAUUGGGAAUAUAUGUUUACUGAGAAUGCUGAAUUGAGCAUGUGAUAUAAUUUUAUUGUUUGAUCAUUGGAGAAUAUAGUUAGUGUUGUUGUUAGAUCAUUGAAUGAAAGUUACCUUCUUUUUUAUUGUUGAGUUCCAUACUUUACCAUCAAUAAACAUAACUUAGAAUUUUUCAUCUUUUGUUAAGACUGGAAUCCGAUUGUAAAUAAUACUUAUGAAGGCCUAGGGAAGAGAAUUUACAUAUGCGUUGCCUAAAGUGGCACGUUGAGGUUUCAGGUUUGCUAUUAUGCCUAAAGUAUGAGAUUAAUUUUUAAUGUGGAUUUGACUGAACCAUAUUACUGCUUUGUAGGAAGGACGCCGUGUACAUUAGAGUUAUCUCAAAUGAGACUUGACUGACUGAGCUCGACUGAUCAUUGAAGGACGCCGUGUACAUUACGCCGUGUACAUGUCAUCAAAAGAGACUUGACAGAGCUGGAUAGUAUUGGUGAGCUUCUGCACCUGGGGGUUAUCUCAAAUUAAUUGAGUUUUGUCUUGAGGGUGAGCAAUUUCCUACCCAAUUUAGAAUUCCAUUGUUGUUCUUGCAGUAGUUUGAUAUAGUUUGUAUUUUUAUUAAAUAUCGAGUCAUAAGAUAUUGAAUUAUAAUUAACAAAAUCUAUUUGUGGCUGCAGACUGUUCAAAUAUUUGUGGUUGCAGACAGCAACUAUUUGUGGCUACAGGCUGUGCAAAUCAGUCCAUUGAUGCUCAGAAGGUGUUUGGGAGGGGUUUCCAAACGGUGGUUUCAUUCAGAGUAAAAGCUGUAAAUUUCAAAGUAAUUCUCUUUUCUCUUUACGUAUUGUAUGUGAUUACUUGGUGUAAUCUGUUUCAAGCUACUCCAUGAUGUGCCAUGGAAUUCCAUUACAGUGUGAAAUUGGAACAAGGAUCAGUAACAGCAGUAAUCGGCAAAUAGGCACUGUCAGGGGUGAUUUAUGAGAACAAUAACCCUAAGCUUAUGGCUGCAUUCAUUUUGCUGUAUAGAAAACAAUAACCAAUUAACCAUAGUUGACAUUGAUUUUAAGAUAUUAUAUCCCUUUUUGUAAUGUGAUGAAUGUGAGGUUUUUGUAGCAGAACAAUGAACACAGAACAAUCAAAAGGUUUUUUUGUACAAUUGAGCAUUUGAACAUCUGCUUGAUCCCUUGCAAAAUAGCAUCACAAAAAUAGACUUACAUAGUGUUCACGCUUUGGUAACAAGUGAAGUCCUGAACUCCUGAUGCGAUAAAGAAGUAUCAAGCUGUAUUGCAUGAGUCGCUGAGUUGAUGGAUUUUUUUUCUGAAUCUAACAUUUUCAUCUUCUUCUCUAUCUCACUAUAAUAUAUAUAAUGUGUAUUUAUUAUUGUAACCAGUGUCAUUGUGUAAUAUCCAUAUGUUAUAUUAUUGUGUUUAUCAAUUUGUCGAACAACAACAUUGAUUCAAACAAAAGCAAUUGCGGUAGUCCGCAGCAACGCGCAGCCAUCAUCUAGUGAAAUACCAAAUGAAAUGACUAGAUGCAGUACAAUAUUUGAAAUGAAUUUGGAAUGCAAGCUGUCCAUGCAGUACGAUACAGAACUAAUAAUAACAAAUGGAAUUGCAUUCUAUACAAAUUAAUUAAUAUCAUAUUUUUGUGGAGUAAAAGGAUGUGAUCAACAGUUUUGAGCAUUAGGAGACCUGUAGAUGGAAGAAAUAAAACGUUAGAUGUGGAAAACAGAGGAAAGUUUGACAAGCUUCAACAUGUUCCCUCGCUUUUCUACACGUAUUUGAUAACAUUAUCAUCAGUGCGGAUGUUGUCUCAAAUUACAAGUGCGUACCUGGAAACCACUCGAUCGAGGAGUGUUGGUUUUCUCUUAUAUGACUUCGUCAUUAAUUUCUACGCGAGGGAUGUGUGCUAUCUUGUGCCGGUAUCGUCCUUUGUAUCUCUGUUCGAGUAGAGGACAGCUGCGAAUAUAAAGUUGUGAAAGAGGCAGGCCUUCCUCCACUGGAAGGGUUGUAAGCUUCGGACAGUUCCAGAUCUGAAUCCAUUCAAGAGAGGUGAGGAAUUGAAAGCCCUUGCUCAGUUUCUUUAGAUUUGGGAAGAAUCCAAUACUCAAAUUAACAAGAGAUCUGGGGAGCAGUAUCGCCGUCUCCUUUGAAUUCUCAGCAGCAGGUGGAAAUGACACCAGACUUCCAUCAUCUUCACCGAAUAGACUCAAUUCUCUCAAACAGGCGAGUCUCUGCAACCCUUGAGAUUCCAUCAGCGCCUUACAGUUCUUGAUCUUCCAGAUUGACAGUGAUGUUAGGUUGGUGGGGAAGGAAGUUGUAGUUGUCAAACCUUCAAAGUAAUCAAUACUCACAACUUCAAGAUUACUGGUGUGCAUCAUGUCUCUCGCCAACUGUGCCACCUCCAAUUUAUCGCAAUUUACGAUCCGUAUCUCUCUUGGCCACACAUUCAUUCUCGGCAAUGAAACAAGACUUUGACAAUCCCAAAUAGUUAAUCUCUGAAGAUUGGUGAGGUGGCACAGUCCAUCGGGUAAGGAUUUCAGGUUUGGGCAGUCCCAGAUGUAAAUUAACUCGAGUUGGCAGCUGUCAUCGAGGAACCUCUCAGUUAUUAGCUCCAGCUGUCCACAACUCACUAUCCAAAGCUGUUUAAGAGACCUGGGUAAUUGACCUUUGCAUAAUAAGCCCAUCAAAGAGGGACAAUUCCCUAUAGUCAAACGCUCAAGACAAGAAGAAGAAGAAGAAGAACCGUUACCCACCUCCUCCUCUUUCUCUAUUAAUGACUUCAAUUUCCCACAAUUCUUAAUCUCUAUUCUUUUUAGGCUGAGAUGAAUCUGGUAUUUUGCGAAGUGUGAAAGAGAUUCGCAGUCCUUAAUCACUAUGACUUGAAGACAAAGUGGCAGACCAACAUCCGGAAAAGAAACAAGACUUGAACAUUCACUUAUGUGCAGCUCUUGAAGUGAUCUAAGGUGAUGAUAUCCUUCAGGCACCAUUCCACACUUGCUUAAUUCCAGACGUUCAAUAUUGCAAUCCAGGAUUUGCAAUUGCACCAACUGCUCUGCUUCUUUCCCCAGCUUUUCAACAAGGAUCGAGUUGUCUUCGAUGUACAGACGACCAAGAGAAAUCAAGUGUUGCAGUAAUCUAUCCUCAUUUUGAAAGCAACAUGUAAGCUCCUCACAACCAGUGAUCUUCAACUCUUUAACAUUUUUCAAGCUUUUCAUGAACGCCUCUGUUUGGAAUCUCAAUUCUGAUACAUUUGAAAAUGUCAAACUCUCUAGUAAGUCAAACUGAACUGUACUUGUGUCGUACACCACCCUCUUGCAAUUUUUGAUGUAUGAUCCAUGAAGCUGUUUAUAUUUGGAUACUGAAACCACCAAUUCCUCACAUCCAUAUAUCUCAAGCUGUGCUAAUGAAUCGAGCUUCUCUGGUAAAUCACCCUCCAAUUUGGGGCAGCCCCUGAUGGAAAGCUUUUUCAGGCAAGAUAAAGCUUCAACACCCUCACCUUGUUGGCAAGGAUACCACUUCUUCCAAUUUUUCAGAUUAUGUAACUCCAGGGUCUCUAAAACAUGAAACGACAAGUCACCUUCUCCAUAAAACUCAACACCAACACUCUCCACUGCAUCCAUUUCUUGUAUACAAAGUUCUUUGAGACAAGGUAACUGUCCGAAUGGUGGCCAGAAUUGACAAUGAUUACAACCUUCUAACUUUACCCGCACCAUUUUAGUGAAUGAAGGAUUCCCAAUCCAUGUUGAAAAUCUCAAUCCAGCAUAACCUUUGAUGGUGAGCUUUUUGAGCUUGCUAUGAGGUUGUAACAUGUCAAGCACAAUUGCUGCAUCUUCUGUUGAGACACUCGAAGAAGACCAUUCAAGAAAUAGGGCUUCAAGCCUUUCCUUGCUCUUUAAGUUGGCACUCCUGGCAUCCUCGACACAAAUCACAUUUUCUAGUCUUGAGAUGUGCAAUGUCCCUUGCAGAUGCAAUAAUGACUCAAUCUCUCUUACUCCUGAUCCACUACCUUUGCCAAUAACAAACUCAGGCAAUGUUUGGAGGUUAGUCAAUUGACCAAGCUCAGGAGGCAUUUCUUCCAAUGAAUUUGUACCUGAAUUGUUGAGAUGACGCAAAUUAACUAGGUUCCUCAUGCUUGUGGGCAGUGCCUUCAGCAUAGAACAACUUUUCAAUAACAAUGUCUGCAAGUUGUACAGAGUUGUUGUCGAGUCUGGCAAACUUCUUAUCCAAGUGUGGGAGAGAUCAAGAUACCGUAGAUGCUUCAGUUCACCAAUUGUAUUUGGCAACUCGCGUAUUUGGUAUCCAUUUAAAGAGAGCAAUCGUAAGUAUUGAAGUUUGGGCAAUAAGUCAGAAGAAACCUUAUGAGCCAAAUGGUUAUAAUUUGAAAGUGAAAGUGGUAAGAACGUCCGCAAACAUGUAGCUUCAGAAUAGACCUCAAACUUCUUAACCCCGUCACACCAACCAGGAAUGUAAGAUGAAUGACGAACCUUGGGCAAACAUCUAUGUUGCGAGUCAUAAUUCUGCAUAUCCUCCAAUCUAGAACAUGAGCUUCCUGCAGCCCAACGUGCCAAAUCAGUAACCAGGUCAUGCAUUAUGUAUUUCGACUCUGUUUUGCUUGAUUUUUGAAAUAAUGACCUGGACACCAACUCUUGAAAAUUGUCACGUCCCAAAUCUUCCAUUUGUUUGUUUUCUUCUGGUUGCUGCUGAAUCAAGCCCUCAGCCAUCCAAUAAAAGACCAAUUGCAUCUCCUCAAAUUCAUAAUCAUUCGGAAGUAUUGCACAGUAGGAGAAACACCGUUUCAAAGUCGAAGGGAGAUAAUGAUAGCUCAGUUUUAAUGCNNNNNNNNNNNNNNNNNNNNNNNNNNNNNNNNNNNNNNNNNNNNNNNNNNNNNNNNNNNNNNNNNNNNNNNNNNNNNNNNNNNNNNNNNNNNNNNNNNNNNNNNNNNNNNNNNNNNNNNNNNNNNNNNNNNNNNNNNNNNNNNNNNNNNNNNNNNNNNNNNNNNNNNNNNNNNNNNNNNNNNNNNNNNNNNNNNNNNNNNNNNNNNNNNNNNNNNNNNNNNNNNNNNNNNNNNNNNNNNNNNNNNNNNNNNNNNNNNNNNNNNNNNNNAUCUUCCAACAAUCAUCUCCUGACAUCGACUCCAAGUUAUGAGGUUUAUUGUCUCCCAUCAUCUUUGCAACAUUCGCAUCACGCGUCGUCACAAUGAUCUUGCUUCCUACUGCUCCAACACGAAAAGCCGACUGCAAUUUUGUCCAUUGAUCGUAGUUGCAUGUAUUCCAGACAUCAUCUAGAACAAUCAAAAACUUCUUGCCAGCCAAUUCCUCACUCAACUUUACCAAAACCGAAUUGAGCUCUUUAGAUUCCUUCACAGAACCUGAGGUGACAGAUUCAAGAACUGCAGUUGUCACCCUUAGAAGGUCGAAGUCAUCGGACACAGACACCCAUCCCUUUGGGCGAAAUUGUUCAGUUGCAGCAUCGUUGAAGACAUCUUUAGCAAGUGUUGUCUUUCCUAGUCCACCCGUACCAACAAUGGAAACCACACGAAAGUUAUGAAAAUUGCUGGUACUAUGUUCGCUUUCUAAGAGCACAUCAUUAAGAAUCUUAGUCUUUGCUUCAUCCCUUCCGAUCACAGGUCCAUCUAGCAGUUGAGAUGUAGUACUGGGUGGCAUUUUCCAUGGCUUUUUAGACACUCCAAGUUCCUUCAAACCAAAAUGCUUCUGUCGAGUGGUUAUCUGCUCAAGUCGAUCACUUAACUUCUUGAUUGCUGAGUUCAGACCAAAAUUGGACUUAACUUUAGAGAGUGAGCUCCAUAUCUUGCUUUUGCUUCCUUGUUGUCUUUCUAUCUUCCGCUUCAGCAUUUUAGUAUCAAAUAUGUCCAAUACAUCUUGAACAUCGUAAGCCAAAUCUCUGAGAUCAUCCAGCCACUCUUUUACUGCUCCUUGUGUUAGUUGCUUCUCCUCAGCAUCACUCAGCACCGCUUCAAUGGCCUUCAACGUACUAGUCCAUUUCUCCAGCACCUUUUUGUCGACCAUAAGGCGUCCGAAGUACUCAGUGAUCUCUUGAUCCGCCAACUUCUCAAGCAGCACCUGGAGGAAUGCACCAAGAACAGCCUCCCCCAUUGUUUCUUUUUUGAAUAAUCGAUGGUAUUGAAAACUGCAGAAAGUGAAGCUAGUAGUUAAUUAAGGUACAAUUCUAGGUGAUGCAUGCGUGCUAGAAAAUAAUUUAAACAAUGAAAUGGGUGAUUAAAUUUGAUUUGUUUCCCUUAAUUUGCAAGAUCGGAAAACAUGCACUUACAUGAAAAGUUGAUUAUUUCUUCUGUGAGAUGACAACUAAAACACUUGCAACGUUAAUUCUUCCACAAGGUGAGCCAAGUCUCUGAGAUCAUGAUCAUGACAGACUUUCUUGUUGCAGAUCGAUCUGAUUCCAGCUAUACUGCACAAAUUAGUAAGUGGAGCCAGUUUAAUUAGUUCAUAAUGAUAAUCCAACAUGAAUAUAACUGAUUAACAGAAUGAAAUUAGUAACGGAUUCAAGAAGAGCUUACAUGGAUCAAAGGAUAUCUGAAUCCAAAAUCAAGAAGCCCUUUCUUCUUUAGAUGAAUAAUGCAUACAGUGCAGUGUGUAUAGAUCAAGUAUGAAUGGAUAGAAGCUCCUCCGGCAAAAAGUCUAGAUAUGAAAACCACUCGCACUUUCCUAAAAGUCGAUGAAACAAAGGUGAGCCACUCAACACCCAUGAGGUUUGGUCCAGUUGGUAGCAGGCUGGUCCUGCAUGUUGGGCGAACGCUGCUGUGAUACUCCUGGUAGUAAGGAGGUCACAGGUUCGAUCAUCCGCAUGUGAAAAACAUCUUAUGGGGAGGGGUCUUACCUAAGUGCUCUCGGCCCCGGAGUGGUAGUCCCACCCGACCACCAUUUUUGUAACCAAAAAAAAAAAAGGUGAGCCACUCAACAGGAAUGACGGGAAAAGGCGAUGGAACACAAAGGUGCCUGUUUACACCGAAAAGGCGAUGGUAAAAGUGUGUGUUCUACUGUAACUGUUGACACUUACUGUAUGUGUGCAUCUAAUGUUUUCAUCUGUUAAACUGGGGACGGCUAUGUUUAGUGAGACUAAUAUUGCUUAGUAAAUGAUUUUUGGAAGGUGUUCCAAUUGAUCAACGAAGAUGCGUUUUUGGCAACAAAAUGUACUAGAUGAAGUGCCCGCGGCUUGCCGCGGUAUUUAGCUCUUUGUAUCUACUCGAAAGAUUGAUGUUUCUCCUCAUCACUUCACUGUGAACGCUGAUAUACAUAAUAUAGCAAAUGAUCGUCUCAGGUUAAGGAAUUGAGUCAGGUUAAGGAAUGAAGCAACAGAUUCGGAAAGCAAAUGUAAAGAAAGAUUCAAACCCAUAACAUAAAGAAAGAUUCAAAUUACUCAGUUUCAAAUUUUCAAUAUUAUGUUUACAAUUACACCCAUAAUUGUUCAUAGCCCUCUGUCUUAUCAUCUCCAUCAUAGCAGCACCUCAACUUGAUUAAGAUUUUGUUGCAGCCUCCUCAAAUGUUCUUCUGCACAUACCUAUGAGAGAACAUGUAGGCAGCAUUAGAAUUUGUUAUAUAAUCCUUGAAAAGGGAGGAGAGAUUCGCAAGAAAAAGUAACUUUCUCAUUAAAAAUAACUUCAUAUUUAAUUAGUUGUACGUGCAAAAAUCCAAGUUCCACAGUUCUAGACAUGAUAAAAGUGUAAUGUAACCUCUUGGUCCUUCAUUAGUUCACAGUUCUCAAACUCGAAUCAAAUAUUACAUUAUUCGAAUCCUCCAUUAGUUAGAACCAAUUGACUUUCAAAUCUAAAUCAUAAUCUAAUUGAAACAGAACAUACUGCAGACAAAAGCUUAGAUAAUAUGAUUCAAUAAUUGUAGUUAAGAUCUCCUUUUAAUUUCUUCUGCUUAUCUUAGUGUGAGUAUUUUUCUUGCAGAACUUCUUUUUGGCCUAAAGAAAAUUGCUUAUUAACUUGAAAUGCACUAAAAGAACACUGGAAUAAAAGUCAAAAAGGUCCUUACAGAUAUUACUGUGAGCAGCUUCAAUUAAAUAGCACAUGAUGUCUAGCUAUCUUCCCAGCGAUCUGCAGGCGUGAUAUAAUUACGUUGUUCAAAUUAGACUAAAUCAUUAUUCAAACUCCAUAGUAAUAACUCAAAACAUGAAAAAUAGCACUAAAACCAUGUAAUUAUAACAUGACCGUUUUAUUUUCGUUCUGAAGUGAUGGCGACUUCAUCAUUUGUUAAAGCUCCCUGCAUAUUCUUCAAAACAUCAAAAUAAGAAUGAAGUGGGCAAUAAUAGAAAGUAUUAAACUUAAGAGCAACAAAGUAGAUACAUUAAAGGACACAACAUAGAUGUUCGUCUGUCACUGAUAUAAUGGUUGAAUAUUUAGCAUGGUCUAUUCCCUCAACCCAGUUGAGAGGCAUAUAUAAUAGACAUCAAGGCAAUAAGCAAUCAUAUCUAUCAUACAGAAAAUUAGAAAAUUUCUAGCUGAUAUAUAGUGCAGAAAACCAGGGCAUUAAGAAAUAGGAGAUAAAAAAUUCAACCAGCAGAAUUAACUGGCACCAUAACAUAGGAUUGUAGACAGUGUCAAAAAAUCAUAUUCUCGGUAACUUCUGGGAAUGUCAACAAUCUUCAACAAAGAAUUGUUAGUGUUGAAGCAUGAGAUACUGCCAAACAUGUGAAGCUAUAUUUGACAUUGAGACAAUAAACUAUAACAAAGUAGACAAAUUUUGUAACACCAAGAGCUUCAGUCCUUAUGUGUCAUUAGUAGAUUUCAGUGCAACUGCAACGAAGACGGCAUACAAAAAUAAAAUUUUGCUUAAAUGAGAGAAGGGCACUUCAGGUACUGCAUCCAAGAGUAAGGAUCUCAGAUAAUCAUACAUCAUCUAAUGCCUUACCCUUGACUUUUCAGGAUAUAUCAAGAACACAUCCAUCUAAUACAAUCAAGUAUGAAUGCUAAAGGGGCACUAAGCUUUAAGUGCUGACCUGAAAUUUUUGAAAAUGAUCGGCAAGCUUUUGGAGCAAAGAAAUCAAUCCAAAACAAACCUGGAUCCAAAAGUUCCUGCACCCCUGCUUAAAAAUUAAAAAAAAAAAAAAAAAAGCAAACACAUCGUAGAAUCCAUUAUAAAGAAUACACCAUAAAAACUAUCUCUACCUAAUCAAAAUACCUCCAAAACAACGACUUAAACCCGAAUAAACUACCAAUAAACAAAUCUCAAAUAGCAGAAACACACCAAGGACAGUAAAAAGAUGUAUCCCUGAAUGAAAUCAAAUCAAAUCAGCAACAGAUACCUUAACUUACAAGAAAAAAAAAAAAAAAAAGUUACUUUAAACUGAUAUCUGCAUAUCCAAAAGUUCAUGUCUCAACCAUCUUUGAACAACCUGCAACAAAAACUAAUCACAAUUACUACAUGGUAGUAAUAACAAUAUAGAGGAAAUUGCUAGAUUAAUCUGAACGGACAUAUACGGUUAAAGAAAUUACCACCAAACAGAAAAGAGAAUCAAAACCAAACAACCCACAAUUAUUAUCCAAAAGGACAUCCGAAAUAUUCAUCAACUGUUCAUGAACAAUGUAGAUCCUCUGAAAAGAGGAAUUUGUACGGCAGUCAUGGGCUCUUGGAGGAUAUCCAUUUCCAUCUACCUCUGAAAGAACAUACGGCCAGAGACCAGCAAAUAUCAAGGCCCAACCCCAAAGGCCCAACACCAAGGGUAUCACUGUUUGCAUUCCGAACAGUAAGGCGACGCCAGGCCGCAUAAUAUUUAGUUAAAUUUGGACCACCGUUUUUUGGUGAAUUUGAAUAAUUAUUCGAAAAUUUGGCGUACAAAUUUGACGCUCUACAAUAUAUGCAGGUUGAGCACAGGGCUCAAAAACAGGCACAACAUUGGAAUGCCACCUCUAUGGAGAGCCAAGAGAGUUUUACAUAUACAUUUGUACCUAAAUGAGAGCUGGAGAUUGGUUGCAUAACCAACUAGCACAUGUAGCAGACAAACAAGAAGUUUCUCAUACAUACGUUGAAGAUAGAUAAGCCCUGACAGGAAAGGAUCAUUCACCAUGGUAAAGUAAAACAUCUGAACCAAAAGAGAAAAGUUCGACAAAAUCAGAACAAGUUAUACUUGAUAUGAUAGCAAAGAAGCGACUUGUGUUCAAUGCAAAGCUACAAUUGAAAUGAGCAUGGAAACAUGGAAAGAAAACAGUAGAAAGGGCCAUUUAGUGAAGGGAUUGGAGAUGUACCAGCAUCACUUGUUUUGUUUAGUAACGGUCCUUUGAACAGUUGAAACUCCAUCCACAAACUUUGUCCGGAAAAGGACAUUAGCAUUAUUGAACAUGCCUUCUUUCAGUGAAACCACAAUGAACGGAAAAAAAUGUGAUAAACAAGAAAAAUGGGUAAGUAGAUGUCGCAUAUUGUCUUUAUAAGUUAUGUCGCAAUAUGCUCUUUUGUAGAAUGAGGUUUGAAUUACAAACUCCAGAAUACCAGACUCUACAAACAGCCAAGGGACGAUGAUCAGUCAAAGAGCAGUGGAUAUGCCGAAUCACAACUAUGCCUAAAACGUUUUCUGAACUUUUUGAGAUUUGUACUUUCGAAGAAAUCAGAUAGUAUUACUUAUUUACUUGCACAAUGACGGAAAAGAAGUUGCAUCUUAGCUAAACCUAACUUUAUGGAUUAAUGGAGGAGAAGAUGGUACAUGUCAGAAGAAGAUCCAGCUAGGUAAAAUGUAGCUAGUGACAAGAAUUGCAGCUAGUAAUACUGAAAGGAGGAAGUCUCAAUGGGUUGUGAAGGUUGACAAAUGCACAGGUGAAGAGCAUGUUUUCAGGAUCAGGUUUCCACAAGGGAAAGGGAUUCAAGCAUAGGCUUAGUUUGAGUACUUGGUUCUGUCUUGGAGAAGACUUGAUUUUGCUUUCUGAUCAUAAGAAAUUUAUAGUAUUAGAUAUAAGUAGUAGUUUAUGGAUCUUAUGAUUCAGAUCAUGGAACUUAAUUGAAGUGUAUAUAGCAACUGAAAUGUAUAUGUAGUGGCUAAUAGUACUAUAUAUGAAGUUUAUCUUUGAUUGAAUUUGGUUUCAGAAUUGCCUAUAGAACAUGCGUCAGAAAUGAACUAAAAUGUAGAUAUUAGCUGAAGCUUGGUUUUGGAGGGAAUUAGUUCCGAGUUACCAUACAAGUAUAUACACAUACUCGUAGUAGAGUGGAGCUUCGAAAAGAGGAAGAACUGGUUACUGCUCACUUGUUUCUUCCAUCAAGACACAAAUUGUUGAAAUGAAUUUAGCUUUAUUCAUCAUUAACAACCAAGUCAUUAAUAAAAGUAAAGAGAGUUCGAAGAGACCGAUUUAAUCAACAAGGAAAAGAUCGAAACUAGUUUCUCAGAAAAAACAUGCAUGAAACUAUUAAAUGUACACAUCCCGAAACAACCUAAAUAGUAACAGCUGACGAAUUUUAUUACAAACCACAUGUCGAUCAAAUCCCAAUUAUGGUAUCGAUAGCACUAGUUAGGAUGAACAUAUUAUUGGAUAUUUGGCUACACCCAAGUUUGGCCACUCCGAAAGUUCCUUGAGUGUAGCAACAAUGAAUUUAGAUUCGUUGAGAUGCUAAAACAGACAUAGUCAUCCCCCAAUUUUCCAAAAUAGGACUUGAUCCACUGAACCUUAAACAUUACUACCGAUGAUCCGAUACCUCCCAUCCCAAAUAAUCAAAAACCAAAACCAAAACAAUGUGUACAAAACAAAAAUGCCUGCAAGCAGAAAGAGAGGGGAUGAAAAGAUGAAGGUGAGAGCAAGAGAUUGGCUCGUCAUAUGUCAUGUACAGUCAUGCAUUCGAUUUGAAGGUAAUUGGUGUGUGAGGAGAUAGGUUCAUCUUGAAAUGCAGCACAAAAUUUGUGACAAACUUUGACUAGGCCAGAUGCAUAUAUAUUCCAUUGCAGCAUACAAAUACAUAAGCUAAUCUCCCAAAUAUCCACUUCCCAUGUUUAGCCUUCGGAAUUUCCAAAUGCUUUCUCUAUCAAUGGAUAAUCCGCAAACAAAUCCUAGCCUGCAUAAUUGAAAUACAAAUAAUUAUGAGUUUUUAACUAAACAAUGUGGCUUGGAACAUAAAAAUAUAACUGUAACCUAAUGCAGCCUAGCUCUCUUAUUAGGCUUAGGGUUUUGGUGGCUGGCGCCCACAUCUACGGCUGGCAUUGGGUAUCGGCAGAUGGGACAGUAGUGAUUCAUCUCCAACCAACAAACAAUGCGCUCUUCAUGAAAACAUGGCAUGCGAGUGAUCAUGAUCCCACAACGUCGUUUAAGAUCAGGAUCAAACACCCACUCUUCUUCUUCUGUUGCAUCAUCAUCAACAGCAAGGCUCUCCAUACAAAUUAAUUCAUAGUCGUAAGUUCUUGAUUCUAGAUAUAGUAUUUGAUUAUGUUUGCUGUAAUUCUCUAUAGGAGGAAUCUGUGUUUUUGAGAAAGUGUGGUAAGUUGCGAGCCAGAAGGUAACUAAAGAGGAAUGCAUUGCUAGUUAUAUCCAGGUAUAUUUUCUUAAGCUUGAUCCUACAGUGGGUGUUGUUUUCAUAGGAUUGACUGUGGUUACUUACCGUACUGUACCCNNNNNNNNNNNNNNNNNNNNNNNNNNNNNNNNNNNNNNNNNNNNNNNNNNNNNNNNNNNNNNNNNNNNNNNNNNNNNNNNNNNNNNNNNNNNNNNNNNNNNNNNNNNNNNNNNNNNNNNNNNNNNNNNNNNNNNNNNNNNNNNNNNNNNNNNNNNNNNNNNNNNNNNNNNNNNNNNNNNNNNNNNNNNNNNNNNNNNNNNNNNNNNNNNNNNNNNNNNNNNNNNNNNNNNNNNNNNNNNNNNNNNNCAUUCCAAUACGAGUUAAUUCCCAUGCUAGCCUUGCAGGCAUUUAUCAAUGCAUGGGCAACUUUAGUAUCUUUGGGUUGCAUGUUUCUAGAGAGGCUAUUACGUAGGUUCCUCACAUUUUCUUCGAAGCCCUGAAAUGAAAUACAUGUAAGCUGAGAAAAGCCAGUAAAUGGAAUUACACAAAAAAAGUCUGCCAAGACACAGCACAUUACCUCAGCUUGAUAGAUCAAAAUAAUGUCACGAAUACCAAUCUUCAUAUCAACCAUCACGUGGAGGGGAAUAUCCUCAUUAAUCUGCUCCUCACCAAACGACAAUAAUGAUUAAACCAAUUGAAAGUUACAUUAGACCAAAGUACAUAUAUUUUAAUACCAAAAAAAAAACCAUUGUGGGGUACAGUACGGUAAGUAACACAGUCAAUCCUAUGAAAACAACACCCACUGUAGGAUCAAGCUUAAGAAAAUAUACCUGGAUAUAACUAGCAAUGCAUUCCUCUUUAGUUACCUUCUGGCUCGGCAACUUACCACACUUUUUCAAAAACACAGAUUCCUCCUAUAGAGAAUUACAACAAACAUAAUCAAAUACUAUAUCUAGAAUCAAGAACUUAAGAAUGAAUUAAUUUCAAAAAACUUACUGAAAAAAUUCACAGCAGCAGAAAAUAACAAAAGAAGACAAGCCAGACCUGGAACCACUACAUACACGAUAUUAGAAUCGAAUUUGAAAACCCGAGGUUUCAACUAACCACCUCCUGCUCAGAUUUCUUUAUAUACAAAGACUUUAAAACAUGCUCAGAGCAAGAAAAACAUCAUAUCAGAUUAAAAAGGUGGUACUAUCGAAAAAUUCAAAACCCAAAUUUCAACUAGCCACCUCCUCGUCAAACUACUUCAAUACAACUACUCCUUAAGCAGGAUUAGAGCAAGACAAACACCAGUUUAGAAUCACAACAAGAUCGGAUCAAAAAUCAAAACCCUAAAUCUAAAAAUCAUCACUCCUUGCACAUGACCAAUAGCAUUGCAAGUGUAUUAACCAAAAGAAAACAUAGUUUACAGAUCGGAAAUCCAAAAACAAAAAAAAAUACAUCGCCAAGGAGAUGUGGUAAACAUUUAAAUUUAAGAAAGCAAACCUUAAUAUGUUCAGAAAUGUAAUUAUCUCCAUGUUUUCCAACAUCCUUGUGACGCUUCAGGAUGGACACCUCCUAGGGAGGAUAACAGCAACACAGUCAAUCAUAAUGUAAAAUCACAAACAUUCAAAUAUUAUGGUCAGAUUGGAAUAACUUAAACCAGGAAAAAAGGAUAAGAAAAUUAACCUCAACAUGUGCAGGGCACUCCUCUUUCGAAACCUUCGGGUUCGGUACUUUCUUAUCCAGAUCAUUCAUGAGCGCAGACUCCUAACGGAGUACAGAGUCAAAUCCUAUAUCUUAAAUCAACAACUUAAAAAUCCAACACCAUUUGGAAUCAAAUUGGAAAACCCUAGUUUCAACUAGUGACCUCCUCGUCAAAUUCCUUGAAAUACAAAGACUCUUAACACUGGAUCAGAGCAAGAAAACAUGAUAUAAGAAUCAAAAUGUGGUGGAAUCGAAAAAUCAAAACCGUAAUUUCAAUUUCGACUAGCCACCACCUGGUCAAAUUGGUUGUUGUAUAAAGACUCUAAAAAAGGAUCAGAGCAAGAAAAACAUCUUAUCAGAUUCAAAAAUGUGGGGGAAUUUCAACUAGCCACCUCCUGUCAAGUUUCUUGACAUACAUAGACUUCUCAAGCAAGAUUAGAUCAACAUGUAAGUAAUCAACUCAAAUUUCUUAACAGAUAAAGACUCCUGACACAGUAUUCAGCUAAAGAAAAUAUACCUUGAUAUAUUUCAAAACCCUAAUUUCAACUAACCACCUCCUCACCAAAUUUCUUGAUAUACAAAAACUGUAAAACAGGAUCAGAGCAAGAAAAACAUCACAUCAGAAUCAACAGAAUCAAAAUGUGGUGGAAUCAACAAUAGAAAACCCUAAGUUCAACUAGCCACCUCCUGGUCAAGUUUCUUGAAGGCUUGUUAAGCAAGAUUAGACUUCCUAAGCAAGAUUAGAGCAAGACAAACACAUAGGAUCACAACGUGUAGGAAACAAAAAUCAAAACCCUGAGUUCAAGAAAUCAUCAAUCGCAUUAACCAAAACAAAACAUUAUACCGAUCAAAUUCCAGAAACUAACCAUCGCAGUGAGGAAGACGAAGCAAAUGACGAAGAAGAACAAGCAAAUGACGACGACGAAGAAGCAAAUGGAGACGAAGGCGAACUCUGUAACCGAUUUAGCGUAAUCUUUUUUUUUUUUUUGUCUUUUAGCAAAUAUUAGCGUAAUUUUGUUGCGGUUUAAUAUUUAUACGAGGCGAGUUCACCCGACCCGUCUCUGUUUAAUCCGUAUACCCGAUCCGGCCCGAUACUAUUUAACCCGACCCGACUACCGACCCCCGGAAAAUAUAAUUUAUAAUUUUAUAUGAACAUAAAAUAAAAGGUUUUCCGAGAAAUUAAAAAUUAAAAUUAAAAUCUUACACCAAGGAUGGGAUGUAUGCAGAAGCCGCUCCGCCCUUGCCAAUGAUAAAGCUCCACCCUUUACCGAUGAGAAAAUAUCCGCCCUUUGCGGCUUUGCCGAUGAGAAAGAGCCUCCCUUUGCGGAUGAGAAAGCUCCGCCCUUUGCCGAUGACGGCGUCACGGCCAGAGGAGGAGGGCCAUCAUCGGAAAGAGGAGCAAAGUAUCGAUGCCGAUGCAUGAUAACCGAGAUCUAUCUCUACCCGGAUGGGAGAUGCAGAAAUGAAAAGGGGAACGAACGGCAAAGGUGUGGAUUUAGAUAUUAGGUUUUGGAUGGGAGCGUAAUUACUCUAUUGUCCUUUUAUUUAUACGUGGCUCUGUCUAAGUGGCUGCGAACCUUAUAGGCCUUGGCUAUUUACCUUCGAAGCGAGAAAUUUUUCUACGCUCCGGGAGAACCACUUAGUUAUGCCUAAUGGUCCUCCGCUUUUAUAGUAAAUUGCCACGUGGCUAUUUUGACAAGUCACUUAACACUUAAACAAUCAAGUAAACGUCAAAACUGUCGUUAAGGUUGUCGUUAUAUAUCAACUAGCCUCUUACCAGUGCAGAUGCACGGGGAUCAAAAAAUGGAAGAAAGUGUACUUGAACUGCUCCAUUUUAUGUGGGAUGAAUCUAUUAAUCCUAUCUUUUUGUAGAUAACUGCUCCCCAAAAGGUGGGAUAAAACUACCAUAUAUUUUUUUCUCUCCUUAUUUAUAGUGUUUUACGGUUACACCCAUAAUAACUAUUAUUUUUAUUGUUUGAGAAUUUUCUGCUACCUUGGUUUUUUAGUCAAUUGAAAAAAAGGUUUCACUAAAGACACCAAAGCCACGCCUGACUUUCUAAUAGUAAAGAUAUGUAAUUAUGUAUUCAUCAUUUCAUCCAUAAUCAAUAGAUCGAAAAGAAAUUUUGCAGCAAUUG
rnacentral:lncRNA from 1 species